rnacentral:rRNA from 1 species
UACGAAGGGGGCUAGCGUUGCUCGGAAUCACUGGGCGUAAAGCGCACGUAGGCGGAUAUUUAAGUCGGUGGUGAAAUCCUGGAGCUCAACUCCAGAACUGCCUCCGAUACUGAAUGUCUCCGAGUCCGGGAGAGGUGAGUGGAACUGCGAGUGUAGAGGUGAAAUUCGUAGAUAUUCGCAAGAACACCAGUGGCGAAGGCGGCUCACUGGCCCGGUACUGACGCUGAGGCGCGAAAGCGUGGGGAGCAAACAGG